rnacentral:rRNA from 1 species
CGACGCCGCGUGAGCGAUGAAGCCCUUCGGGGUGUAAAAGCUUCUUUCCGGAACGGGAACGAUAAUGACGGUACCGGAGAAAGAAGCUGCGGCUAACUACGUGC